GCAUAUCAAUAAGCGGAGGAAAAGAAACUAACAAGGAUUCCCCUAGUAACUGCGAGUGAAGCGGGAAAAGCUCAAAUUUAAAAUCUGGCGGUCCUUGUGGCCGUCCGAGUUGUAAUUUAGAGAAGUGUUAUCCGCGCUGGACCGUGUACAAGUCUCCUGGAAUGGAGCGUCAUAGAGGGUGAGAAUCCCGUCUUUGACACGGACUGCCAGGGCAUUUGUGAUGCGCUCUCGAAGAGUCGAGUUGUUUGGGAAUGCAGCUCAAAAUGGGUGGUAAAUUCCAUCUAAAGCUAAAUAUUGGGGAGAGACCGAUAGCGAACAAGUACCGUGAGGGAAAGAUGAAAAGAACUUUGGAAAGAGAGUUAAACAGUACGUGAAAUUGCUGAAAGGGAAACGCUUGAAGUCAGUCGCGUCGUUCAGGACUCAGCCUUGCUUUGCUUGGUGUACUUCCUGUUCGACGGGUCAGCAUCAAUUUUGGUCGGUGGAUAAAGGCUCGGAGAAUGUGGCAUCUUCGGAUGUGUUAUAGCUCUGGGUCGCAUACAUCGGCUGGGAUUGAGGAACUCAGCACGCCGCAAGGCCGGGGACUUGUCCCACGUACGUGCUUAGGAUGCUGGCAUAAUGGCUUUAAUCGACCCGUCUUGAAACACGGACCAAGGAGUCUAACAUGCCUGCGAGUGUUUGGGUGGAAAACCCGAGCGCGUAAUGAAAGUGAAAGUUGAGAUCCCUGUCGUGGGGAGCAUCGACGCCCGGAGCAGACCUUUUGUGACGCAUCCGCGGUAGAGCAUGUAUGUUGGGACCCGAAAGAUGGUGAACUAUGCCUGAAUAGGGUGAAGCCAGAGGAAGACUAUGGUGGAGGCUCGUAGCGAUUCUGACGUGCAAAUCGAUCGUCGAAUUUGGGUAUAGGGGGCGAAAGACUAAUCGAACCAUCUAGUAGCUGGUUCCUGCCGAAGU
rnacentral:rRNA from 1 species